GCAGAGCUUGCUCUGUGGAUCAGUGGCGAACGGGUGAGUAACACGUGAGCAACCUGCCCUUGACUCUGGGAUAAGCGCUGGAAACGGCGUCUAAUACCGGAUAUGAGCUGCGAUCGCAUGGUCAGCAGUUGGAGAGAUUUUUCGGUCUGGGAUGGGCUCACGGCCUAUCAGCUUGUUGGUGAGGUAAUGGCUCACCAAGGCGUCGACGGGUAGCCGGCCUGAGAGGGUGACCGGCCACACUGGGACUGAGACACGGCCCAGACUCCUACGGGAGGCAGCAGUGGGGAAUAUUGCACAAUGGGCGAAAGCCUGAUGCAGCAACGCCGCGUGAGGGAUGACGGCCUUCGGGUUGUAAACCUCUUUUAGCAGGGAAGAAGCGAAAGUGACGGUACCUGCAGAAAAAGCGCCGGCUAACUACGUGCCAGCAGCCGCGGUAAUACGUAGGGCGCAAGCGUUAUCCGGAAUUAUUGGGCGUAAAGAGCUCGUAGGCGGUUUGUCGCGUCUGCUGUGAAAUCCCGAGGCUCAACCUCGGGUCUGCAGUGGGUACGGGCAGACUAGAGUGCGGUAGGGGAGAUUGGAAUUCCUGGUGUAGCGGUGGAAUGCGCAGAUAUCAGGAGGAACACCGAUGGCGAAGGCAGAUCUCUGGGCCGUUACUGACGCUGAGGAGCGAAAGGGUGGGGAGCAAACAGGCUUAGAUACCCUGGUAGUCCACCCCGUAAACGUUGGGAACUAGUUGUGGGGUCCAUUCCACGGAUUCCGUGACGCAGCU
rnacentral:rRNA from 1 species